GAUGAACGCUGGCGGCGUGCCUAACACAUGCAAGUCGAACGAGAUGCGUAUUGGAAAGCUUCGUCCGGAAGAUGCGUUAUCUAGUGGCGGACGGGUGAGUAACACGUGGGUAACCUGCCUUAUGGAGGGGGAUAACAGAGAGAAAUCACUGCUAAUACCGCAUAAGCACACAUUGCCGCAUGGCAGAGUGUGAAAAGAUUUAUCGCCAUAAGAUGGACCCGCGUCUGAUUAGCCAGUUGGCAGGGUAAAAGCCUACCAAAGCAACGAUCAGUAGCCGAUCUGAGAGGAUGACCGGCAACAUUGGGACUGAGACACGGCCCAAACUCCUACGGGAGGCAGCAGUGGGGAAUAUUGCACAAUGGGGGAAACCCUGAUGCAGCGACGCCGCGUGAGUGAAGAAGUAUUUCGGUAUGUAAAGCUCUAUCAGCAGGGAAGAUAAUGACAGUACCUGACUAAGAAGCCCCGGCUAACUACGUG
rnacentral:rRNA from 1 species